UACAGAGGGUGCGAGCGUUGUUCGGAAUCAUUGGGCGUAAAGGGCGUGUAGGCGGUUUGUUAAGUCAUGUGUGAAAUCCCUCGGCUCAACCGGGGAAGGACGCAUGAAACUGGCAAGCUAGAGUACCAAAGAGGGGGGUGGAAUUCCCGGUGUAGCGGUGAAACGCGUAGAUAUCGGGAGGAACACCUGUGGCGAAGGCGGCCCCCUGGUUGGAUACUGACGCUGAUACGCGAAAGCGUGGGGAGCAAACAGG
rnacentral:rRNA from 1 species